rnacentral:tRNA from 1 species
GCGGGUGUGGCGAAAUGGCAGACGCGCUUGCCUUAGGAGCAAGUGGAGAAAUCCAUGGGGGUUCAAGUCCCUUCACCCGCACCA